rnacentral:rRNA from 1 species
AUUGAACGCUGGCGGCAUGCUUUACACAUGCAAGUCGAACGGUAACAGGCCGCAAGGUGCUGACGAGUGGCGAACGGGUGAGUAAUGCAUCGGAACGUGCCCAGUCGUGGGGGAUAACUACUCGAAAGAGUAGCUAAUACCGCAUACGAUCUAUGGAUGAAAGCGGGGACCGUAAGGCCUCGCGCGAUUGGAGCGGCCGAUGUCAGAUUAGGUAGUUGGUGGGGUAAAGGCUCACCAAGCCAACGAUCUGUAGCUGGUCUGAGAGGACAACCAGCCACACUGGGACUGAGACACGGCCCAGACUCCUACGGGAGGCAGCAGUGGGGAAUUUUGGACAAUGGGCGCAAGCCUGAUCCAGCAAUGCCGCGUGCAGGAAGAAGGCCUUCGGGUUGUAAACUGCUUUUGUACGGAACGAAACGGCUCUGGUUAAUACCCGGGGCUAAUGACGGUACCGUAAGAAUAAGCACCGGCUAACUACGUG